AAAAAAAGAAGGUGAAAGAAAUGCUAUAAGCAGUUAGAGAAAUAAGUAGACUAAAAAAAGUACAUAUCUCCGUAGGACAGUCAGAGCACAAGAGAAAUAGCAGUCACUUUUUUGAAUCUCACUGAUGAAAACAGAAUAUCUUCUGGACCAUAUCCAUCUUGGUUUUCUGUACAGCCACAUCACUCCCUUGAAUGGCCAGUACUCACAGCCCACAACUUCACCUAGAAGAGGUUCCCUAAACAUUUUUCAC